GUGGAAUACAUGUUUAUUCGUUUUAAGGUUGUUUAAAUAAUGUUCGUUUAGCCAAGACGGAUAUAUUUCUAUGACGUGAUGAGUAAUUUGAUCUCAAACAAUAAUGACGAUCAAACACGUGCGUGCAAGAUUGCAGUGGUACAUAUUAUAGCCUAUGGGUACAUAGAUUCGGUGAGCGUAUCUGACAAAUAGGCGACCAGGUAUGUACCGAUCCAGGCAUGCCCCAGGAACAUUAAUGACUCCAACAUACUGACGCCCUUGUUCUCCAGCGCUGAGUGCUUGAACCUGUAAGUGG